ACGACGCUGGCGGCGUGCUUAACACAUGCAAGUUGAACGGGACGGAUAUUGAAGCGACUUUCGGAGUGGUGGAUAUAUUGUUUAGUAGCGGACGGGUGAGUAAUGCAUGAGAACCUGCCCUUCAGAGGGGGACAACAGUUGGAAACGGCUGCUAAUACCCCAUAUGCCGAGAGGUGAAAGGAGCGAUCCGCUGAAGGAGAGGCUCAUGUCCUAUCAGCUAGUUGGUGAGGUAAGUGCUCACCAAGGCGAUGACGGGUAGCCGGCCUGAGAGGGCGACCGGCCACACUGGAACUGAGAUACGGUCCAGACUCCUACGGGAGGCAGCAGUGGGGAAUAUUGGGCAAUGGGCGGAAGCCUGACCCAGCGACGCCGCGUGAGGGAAGAAGGCCUUUGGGUCGUAAACCUCUGUUGUAUGGGAAGAAGGAAGUGACGGUACCAUACGAGGAAGUCCCGGCUAACUACGUGCCAGCCGCCGC
rnacentral:rRNA from 1 species